rnacentral:rRNA from 1 species
GAUGAACGCUAGCGGCAGGCCUAAUACAUGCAAGUCGAACGGUGUAGCAAUACACAGUGGCGCACGGGUGCGUAACACGUAUGCAACCUACCUUACAUUGGGGGAUAGCCUUUCGAAAGGGAGAUUAAUACCGCAUAAGACAGUAACUAGGCAUCUAGUAGCUGUUAAAGAUUUAUCGAUGUAAGCUGGGCAUGCGUCCAAUUAGUUAGUUGGUGAGGUAACGGCUCACCAAGACGAUGAUUGGUAGGGGAACUGAGAGGUCAAUCCCCCACACUGGCACUGAGAUACGGGCCAGACUCCUACGGGAGGCAGCAGUAGGGAAUAUUGGGCAAUGGGCGCAAGCCUGACCCAGCCAUGCCGCGUGCAGGAAGAAGGCGUUAUGCGUUGUAAACUGCUUUUAUACAGGAAGAAACGACCCUUGCGAGGGGCAUUGACGGUACUGUAUGAAUAAGCACCGGUUAACUCCGUGCCAGCCGCCGCGGUAAAAC